AACGUAGGAGGCAAGCGUUAUCCGGAUUCACUGGGCGUAAAGCGCGUGCAGGCGGUUCGGUAAGUUGGGCGUGAAAUCUCCUGGCUUAACUAGGAGAGGUCGUUCAAUACUACCGGACUUGAGAGUGAUAGAGGAAGAUGGAAUUCCCGGUGUAGUGGUGAAAUGCGUAGAUAUCGGGAGGAACACCAGUGGCGAAAGCGAUCUUCUGGAUCAUUUCUGACGCUCAGACGCGAAAGCUAGGGUAGUAAACGGGAUUAGAGACCCCGGUAAUCCUAGCCGUAAACGAUGUAAACUUGGCGUCGGUGGCUUAAACUCCAUCGGUGCCGCAGCUAACGCGAUAAGUUUACCGCCUGGGGACUACGAUCGCAAGAUUAAA
rnacentral:rRNA from 1 species